rnacentral:rRNA from 1 species
AGCAGCCGCGGUAAUUCCAGCUCCAAUAGCGUAUAUUAAAGUUGUUGCAGUUAAAAAGCUCGUAGUUUGAAUUUCGGGGUUAGUAGGUUGGUCAUGCCACUGGUAUGUACUGGUCUCACUGAUUCCUCCUUCCUGAUGAACCGUAAUGCCAUUAACUUGGUGUUGCAGGGAAACUGGACUGUUACUUUGAAAAAAUUGAGUGUUUAAAGCAAGCUAAUGCUUGAAUACAUUAGCAUGGAAUAAUGAAAUAGGACGUUCGAUCCUAUUUUGUUGGUUUCUAGGAUUGACGUAAUGAUUAAUAGGGAUAGUUGGGGGCAUUAGUAUUCAAUUGUCAGAGGUGAAAUUCUUGGAUUUAUUGAAGACUAACUACUGACGAAAGCAUUUGCCAAGGAUGUUUUCAUUAAUCAAGAACGAAGUUAGGGAUCGAAGACGAUACAGAUACCGUCGUAGUCUUAACCAUAAACUAUAGACCGACGUAGGAGUCGGAUGAUUAGUUUAUUUUUAGU